rnacentral:lncRNA from 1 species
CCGGGUUCAAGUGAUUCUCCUGCCUCAGCCUCCUGAGUAGCUGGGACUACAGGUGCGUGCCAUCAGGCCUGGCUAAUUUUCCUAUUUUUAGUAGACAUGGGGUUUCACCAUGCUGGCCAGGAUGGUCUCGAUCUCUUGACCUUGUGAUCCACCCGCCUCAGCUUCCAAAGUGCUGGGAUUACAGGCAUGAACCACUGCACCCGGCCAAGUCCUUUUUUUUCUUUUUCUUUUUUUUUAAUUGAGAUGGAGUCUUGCUCUGUAGCACACGCUGGAGUACAGUGGCGUGAUCUCGGCUCACUGCAACCUCUGCUUCUUGUGUUCCAGCGAUUCGCCUGCUUCAGCCUCCUGAGUAGCUGGGACUACAGGCCCCUGCCACCACACCCGGCUAAUUUUUAUAUUUUUUAGUAGAGACGGGAUUUCACCAUGUUAGCCAGGCUGGUCUCGAACUCCCGACCUCAGAUGAUCAGCCUGCCUUGGCCUCCUACGGUGCUGGAAUUACAGGUGUGAGCCCUAUGCCCAGCCUAAGUCAAUUAAGUCAAGUCUAAGACGGAACCUAUUUUUAAAGUUUACUGCUUUAGGUUGUGAGAAUAUAAUUUUGGCCAUUCUCCUUUCCUUCCAAUUCUGGUUCUCUUAAGAGUUUCAGAAUUGUUGUAUUUUACUUAACCUUUAAAAACUGAAAUUUUGGCCAUAGUGCUUUUUUUGGGGAGGGGCAGCAAAUUGUCGUAGGGAGAUGGAACAUUCAUUUGUCAGUUGACACACCUAUGGGAAUCAGUAAGUUCUUUUUUAGCCGUAUUUUCCUUGGCAUAACCAGCUCCAAACUGCAGCAAUCUUCUUUCUGCAAGGAGACAAACUGAAUGAGCUUUACAAAGUUUGUGGCCCAAACUCUGGUAGCAAAUGCUGGACCAAUUUAAAUGAGGGUUUGCAACCAGGGUGACAGUUUACAAAUGCUGCCUGGAGCAAAUCGAGACAUUGGUUAACCUGGGAGUGGGGAGGGCUGGGGUGAGGAAGGGAGCCGUGGGCUGGUGUGUGGACAUAUGUGCAGGCAUGUGGUCUGAGCGUACACAUAUGUAGCAUGCAUGCGUGUGUGGCCAGUGUGCAGCCAGGCUGCCUGAGUGGUCCGUCCAAUACCCACAGCAUUGCUCAUCCCAUGAGCAAGUCAUCUCUCAUGCUCAUACAAAUGAUUUAUGUAAUAUAUUUCCAGCCAGAAACACUUUCACUUAAGCUUUUCUUUUGCUUUUAUUACAAGCAUAUAAUAUUAAUUGGCAAAACACUGAAUACAAGCUUCACUAUCAUAAAAUCAAAACAUUUAAGCAAUAUUCCAAAAAAGAUUUGACAAAAACUAGCCACCAAGAGUACAAAAAUUACACACCAACACAAAGCAUAAAAAAAUGUAAACUUUCAAAUUAAACAGUCAAACACAUGUAUCUUCGUGAUCACCUCCACACCUCGACUGCCUUCGUCUGCCGUAUGCUGCUGGUAAAGGCUGGGUGGCUGCACUGUCUUCCCCAACCCAACAUUGCUUUCGUCUGGGAAAAUGCGUUUGAUAGGCAAUUAAGCCAUGGGAGUGGACAUUUACACUGAGGCUACGCACAUCUCAGGGGAACGCUCAAACUGCAGCUCGUUUCUCAGACGCACUGUUGGGUGCGAAGGACACCUGGAGGGUGAGGGAGACCUCGGCGCGUUCCUGCGGGGCCUUGGCCAUGUGGCCAUUGCCUGCACCCUGUCCCCUGCCUGGCAGGGGACACAAUAUUUGUACAGAUUAUGGUAUCAUUUGAAUGAUUUUCUAAUCUACUUAUCUCAAUUUAUGUAUUUAAAUGUCAAGGCAGAGAAAUACAUUGAUCAUGUUAAGGUCAUGUGAUGUGGUGGCGCAGUAAUGACUUCCUGAGGAAACAGAGAAAUUGGAUGUUUUGUGGUUUAGCUAUGUGCACUAAACUUAUUUUCCAUGUUUUGAGAGCACAUUAAACAUUCACAUACAACGUGGGACUAGGUUGGCUCGUACCCAGAACGUCCAACCCAAUGCCACCCUUUGAAUCGCUGUGAACGCUGUUCUGUUGCUGUUCAGAGAAAACAAGCAAGGCUGCGAAGCCUGGGGGUGCAGGCAGCUGCAGUGCUUGGGCCAGGGCAGCUCCGCUCUCGUGGUCUGAGGCCACAUGGCCCCGCCCAGGGGCAGCCUGGCCACAAGCACGUGGGGUCCAAGGCACCAGGACCCAGGCAGGACCGAGGUGGCCCCACAGCGUGGCCCGAGGCAUCACUGGCUGACAAGCACUCACACACAACCCCAAUAACAGCAUUCUCACAAUAAUAACAAUGAAAAAGGAAAAACCAAACAGCUGAAUGUACAUAUUUUGGAAUUCCAUCUAUGUUCCCUUUCAAUUUAGCAGAAUAAAUGCUACAUUACCAUUUAAACAGAUGUCUAAUAAAUGCAUAUUGGAACCUAUUGCACAAAAGCAUAAAAAAUGCUCUUCAUCCACAUAAAACAAAGACAUACAAAUUAAAAGCUACUCAAAGUAAAAAGAAGCUUGCAAAACAUCUCACAAUUUCAUUUUAUAUGCCUGUAAAUAAAGCUGGACCACUGAAACCAAACAAUUGGAUGGGAAAAUAUGAUAGAAGGCUUAAAAUAGAAUAAAUAAUUUUAUAAAGUUAAGUUUUCUUUUUUAACCCCCCAAAUCUUAAAUUCAAUAUUAUAUAUUCUAUUUGAAUUUUCUAUUUCCAUGAAAACUGCAUCGGUGAGACUGUAUUCCGGGUAAUUAGCCCCACUGCUGUUGAAAACGACGCAUAAGGUGAUUUAACAGCAUUUGUUUUACCAGCAUAAAUAGUUGUGAAAACUUCUUCACAGUAACUCCAUCUGUUUAAAAAAAAAAACCAAUAGAAUCCAACCACUAACCAAUCCUGGCUUUCAUGCUGGAAAAAAUGAAAUUCAGCCUUUUUCUGUGAAAUGAGAGGUUGACAGAAAGGAAAGAAGGCCACCCAGAGGCUCCACAGACAGCAGGGCCAUUGCGCUCCAGCCUCCAACGACUAAGGCUGCAAGGUCAGACGAGAGGCAGAGGCCCCAGGGCCGAGUCCUGUAGUGAAGACUGUCUGCACGAUGAACUCCUAGAAAAAUAGGGACUUCUGCUGCUGAGGUUUUGUCAGGUUAACACGGUUACAAAAGCAGGGUCACCACCGGCUGGAGACAUCAACACGGGCGCCACUCGCCCGUCUCUGUGUAUUUAAAUCUAUCAGCUUAGCACCAUUGCAAAGUCAAGUGAUUUCAAAGAUAGCUACAAAGUUACAAAUAUAUAUUAUGAGAUUAUUACAAUGAUAUUCAGUUUCAUCUGAACUGUGAUUUAAUUUUAUUUGAAUUUGGAGGCUUGUAACUGUUUAAUCCUUUCUUAUUCCGCCACACAGGAAAAUGCCUAAGUUCUAACAUUACACUUAAAACUGCACUGUGAUAACACACGGUUGUACAGAAUGCUUCAGCAGUAUGUGUAUUUUGAGGUAGACAGGUAAUAUUUAUUCAUACACAGCUACUCAUAGACCCUUAUACAGUGACUCUAGAAAAUGAUUUGGAUGAAUAGCAAGCUUAGGUAACUGAGUAACUCAAACCGUCCUGGGAGUUGAUGGGCUUAAAGAAAGGUGAAUUUUGACCAAUUCCUAACAAAGAACUUGCUUUUGUUUUAAAAGGCCUUACACUGACAAUCACUCAGAUGGAAUUAAUAUGCAUGUUUUUCUCAUGCCUAAGAUGAGGUCUCUUGAGCUGCUUUUUAUCUAAAGGAAGCAGAAGAAAACACAGCGAAAUUCAAGAAAAAAAAUCUCCAAGGUGGUUGGCUUCUUGGAAAGCCUGAAUGGUGGCCACGGACCACCUGGGCUCCCAAGGAGUGGAGGGAGGAGGGAUUCAGUUCCACAGGAAAUAAAUGGGAACAGCCCGGUGGAGAAGACAAUGACAACUGCAGGACAACACCUCAACCACUCCAGAAAACAGCCCUUGCUCCUCCUUCUGGCCUUUCCAUAUUUCCAAGUUACUGUUUUAAAGGAAAAAAAAAAAAUGUGUGUGUGUGGCAGUUUAUUCUCUAAUGUGACAAAAACAUGACCAUCCGGGAGGAGAGGGGCUAACGGUGCAACCAACUGAGGCUGAAACACAGAUUCAGCUGAAAUGCAGCUUCUGCAGAGCAGGGGCCGGCUUCCCUCCUAGCCCUUCAGCUACUCACCCUGUCCCUGCAGCUCUGAAAAACGCCCUUCCAGUAAGCGGCCAAGGAGCACACGAGCUCCUCUCACCAGCAAAGGGGAAGGGGAGGCCUUGGACAGACGGGGCAGUGAGUGCGUCUGGGCAUGAGCCCGAAGCCACCCCCAGCAAAUCCUCCCCACGGAUGCCAGGAGAGCUCUGAUCCUAACCACCACCACCUCUCCCUUCAGCAAAAUCAAAACAGGGAAAGAAAACAUAGGAAACCAAACGGCGGCACUCAACAAUUUGGGGGAACAAGUAAUUUUUAGAAGUAAGAGUUGUUCCGUAAACCAGCACUGAGCUGGUCACACGGCCUCUGGUCUACCUGCUGAGCGUGUCAGAAAUCCCGACGUGGCGUCUGGGGCCCCGUUUCCAGGGCUGGGUGUGUCGGCCACAGGCGAGCGACAGUUCUGAGUGAGUCCAAGUGCCGACCUCACAAUCAAAGGCGAACCAGUCAGGGAGCUGCUGUUGUGUUUCAUAAGGUGGGAAAUUAAAUACAAUGGUUAAAUCAUAAUGUUAAUGGAAACCUCUUUUGGUUUGCUUUUAAAUUAAUUUUUUAUAUAACUUCUAAAUCUUUAAGAAGCUAAAGGCAACAUAAAUAUUGUCAUUCACCAUGAAAAGACAUUUUUUCAAUAACUUAGGAAGGAUUCAAUAAAAGUCCAACUACACUUGAGGCUUAUCAUGAAACCUAAAAUUCAUAAACUAAACUGAAGUGAAUUCAGAUUUUCAAGACCUGGAAAGCAAGCAGAGGGAGCUUGUGUCAGAAGGUGACUCAGAACCGUGUUGCCUGGAACGUCACUCUCCCUGCAAGGCUAAAGCACGGGGUGGGGUGGGGGAGAGGGCGAUCGGCUCUGGGAGACUGUGAAGUGUUUUCAUCCUCUGUAAACGUGGUGCUGGUAGUGUCUUGUUGAGUGUGAAUUCUCUCUCAUACAAAAGUUAUAAAUAUUCUCUAUUCAGAAGUCUGGUCCACAUGACACCCAGAGGCAAUGUUCUUAAGCGCGGCGGCCGGGAGCACCCAAGGGUGCGAGGGCCCAGUCUGUGGGCGCUGUGUGGUGCCAUUCACAGCAAGUCCAUCUUGGGUCUGUAGUGCAGCAGGAGCGGUGCCUUCUGGAAGACACAAGAACGCACAGUGCCUGCUUAGCAGGGGUGGAGGCAAGGAGAAGGACCUACUUCAUCAGGAAGGGUGCUGAGAAAUUGCGUCCCGUGAGACACAGUCCACACGCGGGGCUGCACAGAGACCCUUCUGUUCUGAGCAACAGAAGGGUCCCCCAGAAGUUGCUGGGGGAAGACGGGCUAGGAAGACAUGUGCCCUCUCCCCUGGCCCCAGGUGACCCAGUGACCGCUGUGCACACCGUGGUGGCCACCUGUACCUGAUGUGGCCCUGGCCGCCACUCCCCUGCCCCCUUCUCCCUCAAACCCUCUGGCCCAGCCCCAGGCCAGCCUUGGCUCCUCCCCCUCUCCCCAGGCAGCAACACCAGCUGAGGUGGGAGAGUUCCACCAUUGGUUUCCUGCUUCAGAGGGGCCCAAAGGCCCCAGGGGACCCUCUGCUUAUGGCACUCACAGCCUCAGCACUUUCCCACCAUGGCCUGUGCCCCUCACAGCUCAGCUGGCACCUUCCAAGCUGGCUCUGGGGUUGAUGAUUUCAGAAAGACCAGAACUGUGUUUCACAACAAUUUCUGUAGCUGAGUCAUCACUUUUUUUUUUGAGACAGAGUCUCCCUCUGUCGCCCAGGUUGGAGUGCCGUGGCACGAUCUCGGCUCACUGCAAGCUCCGUCUCCCGGGUUCACACCAUUCUCCUGCCUCAGCCUCCUGAGUAGCUGAGACUACAGGCGCCCACCACUACGCCUGGCUAAUUUUUUGUAUUUUUAGUAGAGAUUGGGUUUCACCAUGUUAGCCAGGAUUGUCUGGAUCUCCUGACCUCGUGAUCCGCCCGCCUCGUCCUCCCAAAGUGCUGGGAUUACAGGCAUGAGCCACUGCACCCAGCUGGAGUCAUUUAACAUUUUAGAUAAGAGAUGCACAGCAAAGUCACUGCCAUUCAGAGCAGACUCUGAAAAUCAAAUCACAUGUCUCACCUUGAAUCUCCACCUAGUGACAACCACGAACUUGAGCGUGUGGUCCUUGCCCAGGAUCUCCUCGUUGCAUAAAAUGUCCAGCUGGGGGAUAAGGAGGUUUGAUUAGCAGCAGAGAGGUGCUCAACCCACACUGACAUGGCCACCUUGAUGCUGGUAUGAAAUCUGCAGCCCCUCCCCAAUUAUGCAAGAACGUGCCUAGAGACGGGGUGGGUGGGGGGCUGGUUCACGUAUUCCUCCAUCCCUACCUCACAGCCUAGAAAUGGAGUGUGGUCCCUACCUCACAGCUGAACAGAAAUCCAGUGCAACAUAUAAGAUAUUACAGGGCAGGCCCGUGCCAGUUAGGGGGAUGACAUUUCUGCAGGGGGUGCAGGCACAGGCACAAGCUCCUUGCAGUGGUGGGCUCCCAUCCCACCCCUAUCUGGCCUGCAGCUGCCCUGAAUCCUUUUUCUCUUAGCAGGCCCCAUCACACCCCGUCUACCACACCUGCCGUACUGAGCAACGGGAAGAGGUGGUUUGCGCCCCAUGAGCAGCCCUGACAGCUCCGGAAUCGGGCACCCUGGUUCCCCAGGUGGCACAGGUGCCUGAGAGGCCCAUAGGGCCAAAGUGUUUCCCUCCCCAUCCCACCCAGGCCCGGUCCACACCAGCCCCCUCCCACAGCUGCAGCCUCCAGGGGCACCCUCUCCCCACAGGCCCUACCUCCGGUCCAGGCUGUCCCUCCCUCUCGCCAUAGUGCAAAAAUGCACUAGGCUCCCCAGUCUUUUAAAAAAAUUAGACUUUUUAAAGAACAAUUUAAGGUUUACAGCAAAAUUGAGAGGAAGGUACAGGGAGUUCCCGUCCCCAUUGGUACCCCCCGCCACCAACACCCUGCAUGGGGGCACAUUAGUCACCACCCAGGAACCUGCACUGAUGUCACCUCCACCGAGUCCAGAGCUGACGUCAGGUCGCCCUGGUGGCACAGCCACAGGUGGGCAAACAGCAGCAUCACCGCCCAGGAGCCCUGUGCCCGCCCACUCCUACUACCCUCCUCAAGCCCCUGCAGCCUCCGGAUGGUUCUGCCUUUUCCAGUGCGCCAUGCUGCAGAGCUGGAGUCGCACGGCCUGCAGCCUUUUCAGAGGGGUUUCUCUACUUAGUAACAGGGACUUGAUUUUUCUCCCCUGUGCCUGCUCUUGGCCCGACUGCUCAUUUCUUUUCAGUACUGGAUAACAGUCCAGUACGGAUGCACCACGGUUUAUUUUUCCACUCAUCUACUGAAGGGCAUCUUGGUCGCUUCCAGGUUUUGGUAAUUAUGAAGAAAGCUGCUAUCAACAUCCGGGUGCAGGUUUUUGUGUGGGCAGGAGAUUUCCAGUGGGUAAAUGACAGGGUGUGGCUGCUGGGUGGUUUGCCAAGAGUGUGUUUCGUGUUGUCAGCAGCUGCGAAGCUGUUCUCCGCAGGGCCUGCGGGUUCCGCUUCCCACGGGAAUGAACCUGCACUCCCGGCGUUUCCCGAAUGUGUUGUCAGUGCUUGGGAUUCUGGCCCUUCUAUGGGGUACGCGUGGUGCCACGCAGUUUUCCUUGUUUUUCCCUGAUCAUGUAGACAGUUCUUCAGAUUCCUCCCUGGGGAAGGCGUGAAGCAGCCCCACCUGCCUGAGUGGCUGGGUUGGGGGCUCAGAGGCAUGGUUACCGCAGCAGCAGCGCAAACCUCACACUCUUCCCUGGAGGAACCAGCCCUGCGCUGGGAAAUGGCCAACCUCUUCCCCACCUCCUGCAGCCCCACUGUCCGGCAGCUUCCCGCUACACCUCCACAUGAAAAUCCAAGGACUUCCUCGGCCUGCUCUGUCCCCAGCUACCAUCCAUCUUUACGGUUUUNNNNNNNNNNUGUGGCUUUCUCUGAAUUAGUCUCCUGCGGCUGCCGUGGAAAUUAUCACGAGGUGGUGUCUUCAAACAAUAGAAAUGUACUCAGUUCCAGAGUCCAUAACAGCCACGCUCCCUCUGCAGGCUCCGGGGGAGAAGCACAGUCCAUUCCGUGCUGCUGCCACAGAACACCACACACUGGGUGAUUUAUGAAGAACAAAUUGAUUUCAGCACAGUUCUGGGAGCUGGGACAUUCAAGGUCACCACGUUGCCACCUGUGAAGGCCUUCUGCUGCGUCCUCAUGUUGGGGAAGAUCAGAAGUGAGAACACAUGCUGGCCAGUCCUUUCACAGCAGCAUCAAUCCGUGCAUGGGGCAGGGCCCUCGGCCUGAGUGCCUCCCCCAGGCCCUAACUCCCAGCACUGCCCUGCUGGGGAUGGAAUUUCCAACAUAUGAAUCUGGGGGAUGCCUUCGGACCACAACCGGGGAGCCUGCCCUGGCUUCCAGCUGCUGGUGGCCCAGGGGCUCCCUGGCUCGCCUCGAGGCUGCCUCCCUCCAGCCUCCAGUCUGUCCUCUGCUCUGUCCUCACCAGGGCCUCCUGUCUCGAGUCUUCCUCCGCCUCACUUGUGUCGUGGGAUUUAGGCUCCACCCAGAUAUUCCAGAAUUAUUUCAUCCCAAAAUCCUUUAUUUAAUUAUAUCUACAAAGAUCCUUUUCCAAACAAGGUCCCAUUUGCAGGCUCUGGGGGUGAGGAUGUGGCUUAUCUUCUGGGGCCACCACUGAGUCCACUGCUGCUACAGACAGCAUCUCAAGUCUGUCCACUUCUCCACCCUGACCGCCCCCACCACAGUCCUCUCCUGCAACUCCUGGCGCUGGCCUCUCCUGCGUCCAUUUCUGCACAGCCUGAGCGAUUUUCAAAAACGACACCUCAGACCCAUGCUCCUGCCCACAGCCGCCAGCGCCUUCUGUCUCCAUGCAAAGCUGGACCCUGCUGGCGCCUGCAUCCCCAUGGUGUCACUGCCUUGGGGGCUCACAGGGACCCACACUGGCAUGUUCAUGGUGCGCCUGCUGCCAAGGCCGCCUCAUGCCAGCACUCCUUCGUCUCCUUACACACCACAGCCUGGAAGGGUCCUCCCUCUCUGCAUCCGCCCAUGUCUCCCCUUGUGAAAUUAAAGCACAGAAUUUCUUGUUUUGAGGAAAACCUUUAUCCUAUUUUAAAACAAUCUCAUCAUCCCCGCCCUAGUUCUCUCUUCCACUCACAGUAGCGUUCCACGUUCCCUGUCUCUGGGCAUCCUACAACCCUUAGGGCUGUCUCCUAUCCCGCUCCCCGGUGAAGCAGGCAAAACUGAUUUUUUUCUGGUUAAAAUCUCCAAAGUUGUUAAAAACAAAACAAAACUAAGCAAAGAAUCUUAGAAGUGUUACCUUUAGAAAUAAGAGAGGACUUGUUAUGGUUUCUACUUAGGGAUCAACUGUUACCUCGUUAAAGGACGAAAGGUUGAGUUUUUUGGCGAUGAACUUCUUCAGAUGCAAGACGGUCGCCUGGGCUGAGCAGCGGAUCCACUUCCGCUUCAGCCCCCGCAGUUUGCUGCUGUUACACUCCAGGCAGAUGCUCACCUGCAGGAAAGGACGCUGGUGAGAGCGCAGCAGGAGGGUUCCCCCGGACGGUUCUGGAGACUUCCUUAGACAUAUUUCACUAAUUCCUCAAUCUAGGACUGCUGACCUUUUUAAGAUCAGACAUCUGCUUUGACUUCAACACUGCAGAAAAAGAAUCUUACAUACCUUAUCUGAAAACCUGUUUAUCGUCUGCUUGCCGUUUUGUGAACUAUAACCUCACCCUGUUAAUUCUGUGUGUUAUUAACAUGAUAGUUGAGAGUUAAUCCCAGAGUUAUUUAUCCAUCGCAGGCAUUGGCUUCUUGGUCUCCAGCUAAGCCUGUCCGGACAAACACGGCGCAAAGGGGAGUGGGCGGCCCCGUGUCUGCGAAUGCACUCGGGGAGACAGCAGCGACUACGGGGAGACAGCAGGGAGAAGCCUUGAGCAGGGCCACAGGCGGAAGGUCACAGCUGCCUUCCAGGUUACCAGCAGUUUGGCCGCAGGAUAAAAAGUGACUGAAGGGGACUGUGGAGUCCCAGCAGCCACGGGCUCCCUGCCGGUGCGAAAAGGAAUCUGCCCAGGACGAGGCUUCACCCAAGGGCCCGGCCGGCUUGGCCCUCAAGAUGUGCCUGACAAGGAAGGGCGACGCUCACGGCAAACGCUUCUACAGGUGGAGCCGCAACAAACGGCACAGUUAGGGCCUAAAAAUGCAGUGGAAGGAUGGACAGGGGGUUCACUGAAAUAUGUCUAAAAUUACAAAAGAUACAAAAGGGAGGACACCAGGGGUACAGACGGGCAAGUAUUGAAGGUAAUCAGAUACAAUUCCUAAAAAUAAAAACACUCACGGAAACUAACAUCUCAGUGGAUGGCUGAACCACAGAUUCUUCUCAGCCAAGGACAGAUUAAUGUCCUAAAAAAAAAAUUCACUUGAGGAAGUUACCCAUCAGGAGUAGAGAUAAACACACCAAUUCAAACAAUAAAAGGAAGGCUAAGAGAAA